rnacentral:rRNA from 1 species
CAAUAGCGUAUACUAAAGUUGUUGCGAUUAAAAAGCUCGUAGUUGGAUCUCAGGCAUGGGCGCACGGUCCGCCUCGCGGCGGUCACUGUGUGUUUUGUUUCCCAUCCUACGCUUCCCGGUUAUCAGCCCAUGGUGCUCUUCACUGAGCGUUUUGGGUGGCCGGAACGUUUACUUUGAAGACAUUAGAGUGUUCAAAGCAGGCACGUCGCCUGAAUAAUGGUGCAUGGAAUAAUGGAAUAGGACCUCGGUUCUAUUUUGCUGGUUUUCGGAACACGAGGUAAUGAUUAAGAGGGACAGACGGGGGCAUCCGUAUUGCGGUGUUAGAGGUGAAAUUCUUGGAUCAUCGCAAGACGAACAACUGCGAAAGCAUUUGCCAAGCAUGUUUUCAUUAG